rnacentral:snoRNA from 1 species
GCCUUUGAUGUCAUGAUGUUUGCUGAAUAGGCAAACGUAUGCCUGAUAUCUGUUGAUAUUUCUCAUGAACUAAGACGGUCUGAGGU